AUACGUAGGUGGCAAGCGUUGUCCGGAUUUACUGGGCGUAAAGGGAGCGUAGGCGGACUUUUAAGUGAGAUGUGAAAUACCCGGGCUCAACCUGGGUGCUGCAUUUCAAACUGGAAGUCUAGAGUGCAGGAGAGGAGAGUGGAAUUCCUAGUGUAGCGGUGAAAUGCGUAGAGAUUAGGAAGAACACCAGUGGCGAAGGCGACUCUUGGGACUGUAACUACCGCAGAGGCUCGAAAGCGGGGGGAGCAAACAGGAUUAGAAACCCUGUAAGUCCACGCCGUAAACGAUGAAUACUAGGUGUAGGGGUUGUCAUGACCUCUGUGCCGCCGCUAACGCAUUAAGUAUUCCGCCUGGGGAGUACGGCCGCAAGGUUGAAACUCAAAUGAAUUGACGGGG
rnacentral:rRNA from 1 species